CUCUCUCUCUCUCUUCGUUUUUUUUAAAUCUUUCAUUCUCAGCUUCGUAUUCCUCCCAAGUUUUCUCGACCCAUCCUCUAUUCUCUCUCUCCAUCUCGCAACUCUCGAUUUCUCUUCAUCUUGCUGAACCACUCUCUCUCUCUCUCUUUCUCCGUUUUUGAAUUUAUGUAUUAUUUUAUUUAUAAAUUUGAUGAUCUGUGAUUUUUGUUUGUAGAAGAAGGAAAAUAUUACUCCGAUUGGCUUGAAGAUCGUGAUAAUUUCUACUCCAUGUCUUUUUGCUUUUCAACUCCUCCUCACCCAUUGUUGUUGGUGUUGGUGUUGUAUUGGUGGUGAGAGAUCGAUGGAAGAUGGAAGAUGGAGAAAAAGUUUUGUCUCUCUAUUGGAUAACUGGAUAAGACCGACGGGUAAGGGGGUGAAGCUUGAUUAAAAAAUAUAUAUAUUUAUGUAAGUUCUUGCUAGCUAGCUUCAUCAUCAAGAGCUCCACACCUUAAACAUCAAUCAAAACAUGGAUGUCACUUUUGCUUAUAGCUUCGGAUUCUCCCUUGUCAUCGUCGCUGUUAUCAUAACGAUGGCCGUGGCUUCUUACUACUGCACCCACAAGUAUUCAGGCUCUGAAACUUCCAAUGACAACGUCUCCCUUACCACCACCGGAGAUAUUGGUAGCUCCCACUCCGUGGCAAUCGAAGUUAUUGGCCUCGACAAAGCCGCUCUUCAUAGGUUCCCGAAGUUGCUUUACUCCCAGACCAAACUCAACAAGGCUGGUGACUCCACUGCUUCUGCCUGCUGCUCCAUAUGUCUACCACUGAGACUUUAAAAUAUCAAUAGAAAUCUUAAGAGGAUCCUUUUUAUUAAAAAAAAAAAAGGUGCAUUAUUUUCUCUCAAAAUUUUCUUGGAAGUUUCAUGUACAAGCGUUCAUCAAGAGAUGACUUUUCUUCUUUUCUCA